rnacentral:rRNA from 1 species
CCAGCUCCAAUAGCGUAUAUUAAAGUUGUUGCAGUUAAAAAGCUCGUAGUUGAAGGAGGGGCGACGGGACGGGGUGAAUCGCAAGAUUGGACGCUGUCGCGUUGCCCAGAGGGGGCGGCAGGCUGGGGGCCGAGCGAUCGGGACCGGGCCAGGCCGACCGAGUUACUGUGAAGAAAUUAGAGUGUUUAAAGCAAGUAGGAUAGCUUGAAUAGGCCAGCAUGGAAUAACAAGAUAGGACAUUGGGCCUCUUGUUGGUUUGGGGACGAGUGUAAUGAUUAAUAGGGCCAGUUGGGGGCAUUAGUAUUUGGUAGUCAGAGGUGAAAUUCUUGGAUUUACCAAAGACUAACUAGUGCGAAAGCAUUUGCCAAGGAUGGUUUCA